GAUGAACGCUGGCGGCAUGCCUAACACAUGCAAGUCGAUCGGUAAGGCUCUUCGGAGUACACGAGAGGCGGACGGCUGAGUAACGCGUAGGAACACACCCUGCAGUGAGGGAUAAGACACCGAAAGGUGUUCUAAUACCGCAUACGGUCUUCGGAUUAAAGCAUUUAUGCGCUGAAGGAGUGGCCUGCGUCAUAUUAGAUAGUUGGUGAGGUAAUGGCUCACCAAGUCGAUGAUGUGUAGCUGGUCUGAGAGGAUGAUCAGCCAGACUGGAACUGAGACACGGUCCAGACUCCUACGGGAGGCAGCAGUGAGGAAUAUUUCACAAUGAGCGAAGGCUUGAUGGAGCAAUGCCGCGUGCAGGAUGAAGGCCCUCGGGUUGUAAACUGCUUUUAUAAGAGAAGAUUAUGACGGUAACUUAUGAAUAAGGGACGGAUAACUACGUG
rnacentral:rRNA from 1 species